CCGCACUUCCAUUUCCUGUAUUUGUUACAGUGAGUGUCAUUUUCUGUCAUUCAAUUUCUGGUGUUGGUUGGGAUGCUGGUCUACAUCAAAAUUCAAUUUUGUUGGCCCUUGGGAUUCAAUUUCUGGUGUCAUUUUUUGUCAUUCAAUUUCUGACUUAAAUUUGUAUUGAAUACGAGUUGUUCUCUCUCUCUAUAUAUGUGUGUGUUGGCCCUUGGGAUUUGAUGCAAUGAAGAAUAAAUUAAUUAUUGAAAAUGUUGGUGUUGAUUUAAACUUACUAUUGAUGAUUAUAUAUUGUUUUAAGAGUAUAAAUUGCAAUCUUAGUAUUUUGUUGAUUGUAUUUUUGGUUGUCAAUGAUGUUAAAGGAGGGAAUAAUAA
rnacentral:lncRNA from 1 species